rnacentral:rRNA from 1 species
AUUGAACGCUGGCGGCAUGCUUUACACAUGCAAGUCGAACGGUAACAGGCCGCAAGGUGCUGACGAGUGGCGAACGGGUGAGUAAUACAUCGGAACGUGCCCAGUCGUGGGGGAUAACGCAGCGAAAGCUGUGCUAAUACCGCAUACGAUCUAUGGAUGAAAGCGGGGGACCGUAAGGCCUCGCGCGAUUGGAGCGGCCGAUGUCAGAUUAGGUAGUUGGUGGGGGAAAGGCCUACCAAGCCGACGAUCUGUAGCUGGUCUGAGAGGACGACCAGCUACACUGGGACUGAGACACGGCCCAGACUCCUACGGGAGGCAGCAGUGGGGAAUUUUGGACAAUGGGCGCAAGCCUGAUCCAGCAAUGCCGCGUGCAGGAAGAAGGCCUUCGGGUUGUAAACUGCUUUUGUACGGAACGAAACGGUCUGGGUUAAUACCCUGGGCUAAUGACGGUACCGUAAGAAUAAGCACCGGCUAACUACGUGCCAGCAGCCGCCGUAACAC